AACGUAGGAGACAAACGUUAUCCGGAGUUACUGGGCGUAAAGCGCGUGUAGGCGGCUAAGUAAGUCGGGCGUGAAAUCCCACGGCUCAACCGUGGAAGUGCACUCGAAACUGCAUAGCUAGAGUCCUGGAGAGGAAGGUGGAAUGCUUGGUGUAGAGGUGAAAUUCGUAGAUAUCAAGCGGAACACCGGUGGCGAAGGCGGCCUUCUGGACAGUGACUGACGCUGAGACGCGAAAGCGUGGGGAGCAAACAGG
rnacentral:rRNA from 1 species